AUGAAGGCGAGACGGUGGGACGCCAUGGUUGGCCGGAUCAAGGCGACGGUAGUGGUUGCCGGCGCGAAUGGAGGGAGGGCCGCUGGUGCGGCUGAAGCCGGGGGAGGAGGCCACCAUGCUCGAAGAAGGGUAGAGGCGGCCGCCAUGGUUGGAUCCUGGAGGGAGCGACGGAGGUGUGAGACCCUGGUAGGGAGCGGCGUGCGCCACAGGCGCCGACGGGGUAGUUGCAGGAGGGUGGCAGCCUAUAAGGUGGGCCGAUGGGAGACAUGGGGGUUGGGGUGGCUGGCGGCAAGAGGCGCGUUAGGGUCGGGGGACAGCGACGGGGCUGGGGUAACCGGCGGCGAGAGGUGCGCCGGCACUAGGGAGGCCGCGGUUGUUGGGGCGGACCCGGGGCUGCCGGCUGGCGUCAAGUUCGAUCCCACAGAUCAGGAGCUGAUUGAGCACCUUGAGGCCAAAGUGACUCCUGACAGCACGAGAUCUCACCCUCUCAUCGAUUUGUUCAUACCAACCAUCGAGAGCGAGCAUGACAUAUGCUACACCCAUCUGGAGAAACUUCCAGCGUUCAAAAGGGGCACGUGGACGCGUCGCAAGAAACAGUUGAAGUGCAGCAUGCAUGCGAUGUGGCACAAUACCGGCAAUACCUUGCCGGCGGUGGUCAACGGCCGGCAGACGGGCAGUAAAAAGGUUCUGGUGCUGCACACCAACAAGAACUUCGACCAGCAAAGGACCGACUGGGUGAUGCACCAGUACCACCUCGGGGACCUGGAGCAAGAGAAGGAGCGGGAGCUGGUCCUCUGCACCUGA
rnacentral:rRNA from 1 species